rnacentral:misc_RNA from 1 species
UUGGGAAGUUUNGGNNNUUAAUGGGAAGNAAAAGCUUCNGGANCCNGGGUUUGGGNAAAUUUGGAACGGAACCCUUGGGGUUUUUUUUUUUUUAUGGCGCGCACACCGCUCACCAUCUUCAUCCCCGCGCCGUCGUCUUCACACCGCCGCCACGCACCGGCCACGCACGCCCUUAACCACACACACCGUCCACACAACAGCACACACUCCGCGCCAACCGACGGACGGGUCUUCGCAUACGCCGCCGCCGGGGUCCCCCCAGCAGCCCCUGUCCGCGGCGUGGUCGGCCGGUGCCCCCCCUCCCCCGCACAGCACCCCGUCACACGCACUUGCGAGACGCGGUUCCGCCAUGGCGCUCGACCUUGAGGCGGCCAGCUGGAGGUGCCAC